rnacentral:rRNA from 1 species
UACGGAGGGUGCAAGCGUUGUUCGGAAUUACUGGGCGUAAAGCGCGUGUAGGCGGUCUCUUAAGUCUGAUGUGAAAGCCCGGGGCUUACCCCCGGAAGCGCAUUGGAAACUGGGGGACUAGAGUACCGGAGAGGAGGGUGGAAUUCCUGGUGUAGCGGUGAAAUGCGUAGAUAUCAGGAGGAACACCGGUGGCGAAGGCGGCCCUCUGGACGGAUACUGACGCUGAGACGCGAAAGCGUGGGGAGCAAAC